UGACAUGAUAUACACACUUUAAUUUUGGAAAAAGUGAAAGAUGUCAAUAUAUUAUUUGAUGAAAAAUGUGGAAUUGGAAGUGGGAAUGUAAGAAGAUACAGACUUAGUCAAGUUUGCUAGAACAGAUGUGAUCCUUAUUUUGUACAGAGUUCGAAUUCCCAUUUUCGUAAUUUAAAUUAGAUUAAAGUAGAAUAUAUAAACAAUAUAUCGUUUGUAAUUUAGAUUACAUAAAACAGAGGCAACUUUGUUGAAACGAUAAAUCUCAAGAGGGCACAAUCAGAAAGAGAAGAUGAGAAG
rnacentral:lncRNA from 1 species